GACGAACGCUGGCGGCGUGCCUAAUACAUGCAAGUCGAGCGAAGUUUUUCUGGUGCUUGCACUAGAAAAACUUAGCGGCGAACGGGUGAGUAACACGUGAAGAACCUGCCUCAUAGACUGGGACAACUAUUGGAAACGAUAGCUAAUACCGGAUAACAGUAUUUCUCGCAUGAGAGAUAUUUAAAAGUUGGUUAUGCUAACACUAUGAGAUGGCUUUGCGGUGCAUUAGCUAGUUGGUGGGGUAAAGGCCCACCAAGGCGACGAUGCAUAGCCGACCUGAGAGGGUGAUCGGCCACACUGGGACUGAGACACGGCCCAGACUCCUACGGGAGGCAGCAGUAGGGAAUCUUCCGCAAUGGGCGAAAGCCUGACGGAGCAACGCCGCGUGAGUGAAGAAGGAUUUCGGUUCGUAAAGCUCUGUUGUUAGGGAAGAAUGGAUAUGUAGUAACUAUACAUGUAAGAGAUGGUACCUAACCAGAAAGCCACGGCUAACUACGUG
rnacentral:rRNA from 1 species